rnacentral:rRNA from 1 species
GACGAACGCUGGCGGCGCGCCUAACACAUGCAAGUCGAGCGAGAACCGGACCUUCGGGUCCGGGGACAGCGGCGAACGGGUGAGUAACACGUGGGCAACCUGCCCUCGGCACUGGGAUAGCCCGGGGAAACCCGGAUUAAUACCGGAUAGCCUCCGGAGCCUUCGGGCGCCGGAAGAAAGGUGGCUUCGGCAUCCGGCCGAGGAGGGGCCCGCGGCGGAUUAGCUUGUUGGUGGGGUAAUGGCCUACCAAGGCGACGAUCCGUAGCUGGUCUGAGAGGACGAUCAGCCAAACUGGGACUGAGACACGGCCCAGACUCCUACGGGAGGCAGCAGUGGGGAAUCUUGCGCAAUGGGCGAAAGCCUGACGCAGCGACGCCGCGUGCGGGAAGAAGGCCCUCGGGUUGUAAACCGCUUUCAGGAGGGACGAAGCCACUCGGGUGAACAGCCCAGAGGGUGACGGUACCUCCAGAAGAAGCCCCGGCUAACUACGUGCCAGCAGCCGCCGCGGUAA